UGGCCAUGGCAGCAAGGCCAAAGCGAUAAAAACCUGAUGAGUGCGCUUGCAAGAUCAAUAAUCCUAUUGUUUAAUACACAGAUUUGUACCUUGAUGAGUGCGCUUGCAGAUGCACAACUUGUUUUCUUCCAAAGCUGCUCAUAUAAGGUGUUUUUCUCUAGAUAUCAUAGAUCUGAUCAUAUAGUGGCAUAUAUGCUUCUUGCUCAUGAUUAAUUACAACAACUGAAAACAUUUUUUGCCGCUGAAAGCCAGUCCUUUUGUACCCUUGCAUUGGGAUAAUUAUUUACACAUGAAUUAUAUUGAUCUAAGAAUCCGACCACUGGAUAUAUAGAGAUGAGUAGUAUGAUUGUUAUUUUUAAUUAAUAAAAUAACGUUUGUACUCCGAUUGGGCUUAAUGUCACUGGUCACAGCAAUAUACUUGUUUCGCUUCGUAGCAAUCACUCUAGCUAUAUUUAAUAGUGUUAUCAUUUUAAGCACCUCAUAAGCUAUUACAUCCUAAUUUGUCCUUAAUCACUGGUACUAUUUUGAUUUCCCUUCCAAAUCUUGAAUAAAAAGUGUGACGUACAGUGCUCUCAAAUAAAAGGUAAAAAUAGAAGCAUAGAACUGCAAAGUUGCAUACUGCUCUCCAAGAAUCUCUGACUCAGUGUUUUGAUUCAGUAGGAAUGCUUUUUAGAUAAUAUAGGAGACUGGGAGGUUCCAUUCUUUGGUCUCUCAGUGGCAUUUUCUAGGGAGUUAUCCGCUGUAAAUUUCACAUAUUUAUCCAGAGGCCACAAUCUCUCCAAUGUGAUCAUGUGCUGUUACGACAAGUGAUUAGUUAUGAAAGUUCCUACAUGCUUCUCAGUCAUGCCAUUUGCUUCAAAUUAGUUAUAGCUGGGAACUUGAUUUGAAAAACAGUAUGAUCAGUUCUUGCUUCUUUAUAUCUAGUAUCUCUUUCAAUUUUAUUUUUCUCUCACUUGCUGUACUCUAGCAAGAGGUUCAUGCCGCCUUUGCGUUUUUCUAGGAGAUGGUGCCACACUGGAAUCUGUUCCAGAUCUUGUGAAGGCAAUGUAUGUAAACAUUGAGAGCUUCCCUUGUGUGAGGCUGCUGAAUCUUUCUGGUGAAAUCGGCUGCUCUAGUGAGUAUCUUGGUCUGCCCUUAUGAGUAGACUGAAAUUGUGUUUCGUCAAAAGAAACUGUGAUUCCUCGAAAGAAAUUGUGAGGGUAUUCCUAUGACUGAAUCAGAUAGCUCCAUUGGAAUGCCGUAGUGUUUUGUCUGAACAAUGCUCAUCUGCUUGGUAUUGUAAUGUCUUCACGAUACUACGAUAGUGGAUUGGCGCUUGUCAACUACAGUAGCAAUCUUGAAAACUGGAGAUGUGACAUUGUGGGACUCAGUUGGCAUGAAUCCAAGUUUGCUAGGUUCUCUAGUUCCCCCCUUUCAAAUAGAACUCAAUUUAUUCCUGUAAAAGAGCUGGAUGUUUAAGUAAAAGAGAAGUGGAUUUUCUUUGAAUAAUGUUUGUCUCUUUCCUUCUAUGUAACAUCAACUGUUUGCAUGUCCUUUGUUCUUUCCUUGUCUAUAUAUCGCUAGGACCUGGGAGAAGAGCCUAAUGUCAAGUUUAAUGUGGAUAUUUAGGUGCUAUUGUCUUUAGUUAACCAGAUUAGGUUACCUAUAAUGCACAUAGUAAUGGCUAAUAAGAUGCAAAAUAUUUAUGUAAUGUUAACUUGGUCUUGAUCCUUCCUUCUAUGUAGCAUGCUAGAAAAGUUAAUCCAUUUUGUUGGGUCAACAUUUAUUACAAUUUCUCAUUUCUCCUUCGCUUUCCUGCAAUAACAUUUUCAUUUUCAGGUUUGACACCGUCUAUUUGGAUGAUGAAAUCCGUGUGGCGAAGGACAUAAGAGGGUACUACUUAGUAGUUGAGCGUGCUCCAUGUUCUUGGAAUGGAUAGUUUGCGAAAUUUAGAAGUUGCUCAGUGUCCACAUACUUUAUACUCUGUGACAGGAAGAUGUGCAGUAUCUUAUGGUUUUCCAGCAAAGUAUUUACCAUCUUGCUAGCUAGGCCCUCAUUUUUACUAUGGAACUAGCUGAAUUCCUCAUGCAACUAUGCGGCUAGAUGUACAGGUAACACCAUUUGUAAAAAUUACAGGUUUCAACAAGAAAGUUCUGGUUACAUCUCAAUGGCAAUUAACUGUAUCAUAUUCUUGCAAAUAAAGAGGUACCAUUCCUACUGUUACAGAAUCAAAUAAGACUUUUGUUUUCUUACUAUUUACUUCCUGCUAACCGUUUAACGAUGAAGCAUCUGAAUGUAAAUUCAAGAAACAAAACUUUGACUGUUAAGCAUAAGAAAGGCUUGACAUUGUCUUGCUCAGGUCUCAUGUUGGUUCAUGUCUUAAAUAGGGCAUCACUAGGCCUCUUGUGUGGUUAGGGACCUGUUGUGAGGUUAGAGUAGGAAGAAAAUUCAGAUUAGUAGCUGGACAUACACAUGGUUAGUGACCCUGGUUGGAAUAUAGGCCACUGGCUGAGAGUAGCAGGUGAUCCAUGGAACGACACUUGAAUGCACAGCUACUAGUUCUCACUGUACAUACAUAUAUCAAUUCAUCACCUCGACGAACUGUUGCAUCAUCCAUCAGGAGAUGGAUUGUGUCCUGGUUGAGUUCUUCCAAAGUUGUGGUUAGCAUUCAGCAGCUGAUGUGCAUGGGCCUGAAGGACCUGGAGGGGGUGGUGUCUAGUACAACCUUGGUGUCCUUGAUUUCCGGGUGAUCCUGGUUUUGGGGGACCUUGAUUAGGCGGCUUCUUCAGAUCCUGGAAUACACUAUUGGUCAGAGAAGUCCUUGUGGAUGCAAGAUGGACGAGACACCUCGGGCGGACACUCUCUGGCAAUGCAAUCACCCAGUUCACUGAGAUUUGCACUCUGCUGGAACAUAUUCUGCCAAACGCUGACGUCCCCGACUUGGUGACUUGGAAGUUGGACGGAUGAUGGAUCCUUUUCGGUUGCAUCUGCGUACGCAAUUCAGUUCGAAGGUGCAACCUGCUGCAGCUCAGUCCCUGGCUGGGAAAUCAGAUUCCAGAUUUUUUCAUGGCUCGCUGUCCGUGGCAAGUGUGAUAUCAGAUAACCCGCUGAAGCAUGCUGGACUUGCAAUCUCAUGUGCUCGCUUUGCAGAAUUAUGCCCGAGAUUUCAGUGCACAUCUGACUCAGCCUAUUCCGUUCCAGAGCCUCAUUGUCAGGCUUGGAGGUCUCUUCUGUUGGUUUGGUGGUUAACAUGGAAGGAGCGUAAUGAGAGGGUGUUCAGAAGCAAGGCUAGUUCAUUCUAGGUGUUCGCCCAAAAUCAUAGAGGAGCUAUCAGUGUGGUGUCAGGCCGGACGCAACAGAACCAGGAAGCUGAUAGACACAUCCCGAGAGCGGGACUGAAUUUAGUUAGCCAGGUAGUUUUCACCGCGGUUUUUCCUGAUCGCUUUGGAGUAGCUGUUUCUGUCUUUUUUUUUCUACAACUAGUAGCCGCUUGUAUCUUCGUUAAGCGAUGUACCCUUGUAAAACUCCCUUUUUCCUCUAGUAAUGAUGAAUGAAAAGCUGCGCUGGGUUCAUCGGGCACCCAGCUUUUGUUA